AUUGAACGCUGGCGGCAUGCCUUACACAUGCAAGUCGAACGGUAACAGGUUAAGCUGACGAGUGGCGAACGGGUGAGUAAUGUAUCGGAACGUGCCCAGUCGUGGGGGAUAACUGCUCGAAAGAGCAGCUAAUACCGCAUACGACCUGAGGGUGAAAGCGGGGGCUCGCAAGACCUCGCGCGAUUGGAGCGGCCGAUAUCCGAUUAGGUAGUUGGUGAGGUAAAGGCUCACCAAGCCGACGAUCUGUAGCUGGUCUGAGAGGACGACCAGCCACACUGGGACUGAGACACGGCCCAGACUCCUACGGGAGGCAGCAGUGGGGAAUUUUGGACAAUGGGCGCAAGCCUGAUCCAGCCAUGCCGCGUGCGGGAAGAAGGCCUUCGGGUUGUAAACCGCUUUUGUCAGGGAAGAAAAGGUUCUGGCUAAUACCUGGGACUCAUGACGGUACCUGAAGAAUAAGCACCGGCUAACUACGUG
rnacentral:rRNA from 1 species